GGUAGUCCGAAUCUUGCGGGGAAAGUCUUUCCUUUUUCUUGUUGAGGCGGUGGCGGUAAAUCCUAAUUUUAAGAGGUAAACUAUUUCCUAUAAAAUCAUACGCGUAUCUGAUACGAAGUAAAUCCAAGUGACCGUUCUCUGAAUGGGGCUUUUGAGAUCGGUUUCGAUCACAUUGGCUGGUGCGAGCCAGCUUGAAGAGGAAGCAGCUAUAUAGUGCCGGUCAGGGCCUUGAGAGAACGCUUAGCAGCAUCGCCGGCGCUCGUCCCUAAUUGAUGUUUUCGUUCAAUUGGUACGUGUUUCGGCGCUUACAGUUACUAUUCCGCCAUUCCAAUCCCUAACGAUCCACUUGUUGCUAGGAGUUCAUGACUGUUCGGAGUCACGGCGGCAAGAGAGAUAAAGCCGGAUUUUCUCUCGUUGCUGCCGGAAUCAGUAUUGGUCUCAGGUUUUUCUGGUCAGCCCCUCACUGAUAAACCUGACCUGGAAAGCCGUUUGAGAUAAUGAUUAAGUUAUUACUCUUAUAUCCUUAUCGUGCGAAGCCUUUUGGAGAGAAGAAGAUGAAAACUAGUAGAGAAGAGAGUACAAUGGAGGAGGAAAGGGUUUCAAGGAAGCAGGUUGUUGAGCUGUCAUCUCUCUCCUCCACCCCUUGGUUUCGACAACCCACUUAUGCCAGUAGCUAAUACUUACGAGGAUGAGGAGGAUUUAAGGAGGGAAUCCAUUCAUGGCGGUAGACAGGAGGUUAAAUAGAAGACGAAGAUGAUGAGAGUGAGGUUAUUGACAGACUUGGACAAUGGUUUGGUCAAGGGAGGUGAAACUGCAUGGUUGAAGUUCGACGGGAUUGCCCAUAUCUCGAUACUGUUAAUCAACAAGAAAGCAAUUUCCAUUCAACUUCUGACUACAUAAUUUAUGUACUGACAAUUGUAUUUAUUGGGGUUUAGUCCUAUACUGCCAAGUCAUAUAUAAUUAAUGCUUUCUACCCAAGCAGUUAUAUUUUCCGUCAAUUCAUCAGCAUAAUUAACGAUGUAGAAAGAAAAUUUGAAAAAUUUUACGUCUUAGAAGCUUUGGAGUUGACCAUAGGUUCUUAUAUUGGUUGCUAGGCCCUUGUUAUAGUCCAGGAAUACAUAAUUAUAGAAUGGAAGUGAAAUGUUCUCCUUGGUAGACUUAUAUUCUACCACGUAUAUGCUUACUAUAAUGUACUUUUAGCUUGAUUUUGGAAAUUCAGAGUGGUUGUUGUCUAAUGCACACAGGUUUGAGAUGCAGGACUUGCAUGUUUCUGAAACCCUUUGUCAAAUGAUUGCACUCUUAGAGGCUUAUGUGCAGAUAUACAAGCAGAAUCGAUAGCGAAGCGAAGCCUAGUCAUAUCUUAAGUUUUUACUGGACUGCAUUGCUGUCCCACUUUUGGUCUAGGCAAGAUAUCUCAACUUUCUCCAGAAGGUAGAUGAAACAAAGGGUAAACAUUGCCAUCUGUGCGGGCACUCAAAGAUUGUGACUGGUUUUGUGGAGAAUAUGAUAUGAUUUCAGGUUCUUGUUAUGUAUGUGUCUGCCUACUACUUUUUCUCUGUUUACCUGGUUAAUACAGAAUCGACGGGAGUAGAAAGGAAGAUGUCUGCUGGACAUGGAAGUGGGAAGCAAUCAGCUAAGCUACCAACCAGUGGUUGUUGAACUCUGGCUGGCAUAUGAGCGAACAUGGUCGGGUCCUACAAACCUACAGUUCCAAUCAAAUCAGCAUGAUUCCCUAAUCGUUAAACAUGUCCAAUCAAUAGGUAUAAUUUCUUCUGGUACCUCUUAUCCCGAUGAUGUUAUUCUUGUGCUACUUUCUUCAAUCUGGUCCAAUUUCACCACUAAGCCCAUAGGGCAAGCUGCCAAUGUCUAGAGCGAGUGAGCCAGAAGAGACCGAUGUACCUAAUUGAUGUUUUCAUUCAAUUGGUACGUGUUUCGGUGCUUACAGCUACUGUUUAUCUUCAAUCACCUGUUGCAUUUGGAUAUUCUCUAGUUCUUGGUAAAAUGUUUACCGACUUGAAAACGAAAACAAAUUUGUUAUCUUAGCAUUCCUAUACUGCCAAGUCAUAUAUAAUUUCAAGCUUUCUACCCCGAGUAGUUAUUUUUUAUGUCAAUUCAUUAGCAUCAUUAACGGUGUAGAAAAAAUUUCUUCAAAAAUUUUACUUCUUAGAAGCUUUGGAUUUGACCAUAGUUUCACUUUCAUAUACUUGGUUGCUUGGUCCUCGUUAUAGUCCGGGAAUACAUAAUUAUAGUAUGAAAGUGAAAUGUUCUCCUUGGUAGACUUAUAUUCUACCACGUAUACGUUUAUUAUCGUGUACUUUUAGCUUUAUUUUGGAAAUUCAGAGUGAUUUUAUUUGGAUCUGCCUCCCAGUUAAUGCUAUCAGGAACUUGAGGAAGUAGACUGUAUGUAGUUAAUCCUCUUGGAUUUAUUUUUGACUACCAGUAGAAUGACUAAUGUUUGUAGUGUUAUAAUAUGGAAUCUGUAUAUAGGUUGUCUAUUUUUGCGACAGAUGAUUGAACAUCUUGAUGCUAUGCUUGAAAUGGAAAAUAUGGUAUCAUCAUUUGAAUUAACAACUGGUUCAGAAAAAUAUGGUUCAUGUGGGGGGAUGAUUUUGGAUUUGUUCAAUGGCAUAUGUUUGUAUAAACACUAGCUUCUCUAUGGCAUGAUUUUUUCAAUUCGGUCGUAUCAACCAUAGCUAUGAAUUUGAAAGGAAUAUCUUAUGAAAUUGGCAAUGGGUUGUUGUCAUUUGUGUUCAUCAGUUUAAUCAUGGCCAUAGUACAUUUAUGGAAGGUUUGAACAUUAUGCAAUAAGAGAGGCUUUUGUUUGUCUAGACAUUUGACAUUGGGCAGGACUUAUGUACGUGUUCUCCUUGCUUUUCGCAA